UUAAUUUUAGUUGAACUAAUAUAAAUCGUUAUAUCGCUUCGCCCUCUGCCGCGAGCAACGACAACGAUCGAACCUGGUUGACAAAGUGCUGAGCCCUCUUCGACGAACAACAUUAGACGCUCUCAGAUGAGGUCUCUGAAACGUGGUGGUCAUCUUGGUGAAGUUCGUCGUCCACGACAGCAUUUGCAGACGUGUUUGAGGUGAUAAUUCUUGCUAGGGAAUCUGGAUUAAAGCUAGAAUUGUCUAAUAUUCCAGUUGAAAGCCUUGUGCCAGAACCACUGCGAGGUUGUGCAUCAGCUCAAGAGUUUAUGCAAGAGCUACCAAAAUUUGAUCAGGAGUUCACAAAGAAACAAGAAGAUGCUGAAAUGUUGGGGAAGUCUUGAGAUACGUGGGAGUUGUGGACGUGACUAAUAAAAAAGGAGUGGUAGAACUGCGAAGAUACAAGAAGGAUCAUCCGUUUGCACAAUUGUUUGGGUUAGAUAAUAUUAUUGCAUUUACAACAAGAAGGUAUCAGGAUCAGCCUCUAAUAGUUCAUGGGCCAGGAGAUGGUGCUCAGUUUUGAAAACAAAAGGUUUAGUGGUCCCGAGCUAAAAGGACUUGUUCCAUAUGAUUUUGGGUGCUGAAGAAAGCUAGAAAUAGCAUAUAUAUCAUCUAAGAAGACUGCAAUGAAGAGGCUUAGUUAAUUUACAUAGGGAAAGGGUGGUGUUAUUUGCAAAUCAAUAUUUCUUGACCAUCUUCAUUGGGAUAAUGGUACAUUGAGAGCAGAUACAGAAGGAUAAAAACAAAAGGUUUAGAGAGGUGAUGUUCUCUAACUUAUCCAUCAUACCUUACCAGUAGAGAAGCAAAAAAUGUAUUCACUUUGUAAGGAAUUUAGUCUGUUUAUUUGGAUUCAAAUGAUAGUUAGUUGAAACUUUGGCCAGCCAGAAUCCAAACUAUAGACUGUGAUAUAAACCUAUUUCUGUCUCCCCAAUCUCAAAUGUCUUUUUUUUGUUCACGGAUGUGUUGCUAUAGCACCUAACUGUUGAAUUUAUUGUUAUUGUUAGCAUUAAUUAUGAGAUGGUUAAUAAAUGCCAGAAUAUGCAUGGACCAUAUAGUGUCUAUAUCUUCUGUUUAUUGAAUGCAUGAACCAUAUAGUGUCUAUAGACUUGAUCUAAGUUUCUGCCAUUUAGUAAAAAUCAUUUAUGCUGAUAGAAAAAUGAGAUGGUUAGAAAGGCUAGAUAUAAUAGCAAACAAUUUUGUUGCACUACCUAGGCUGAAGGAGCUUUCCAAAUUGUAUUAUUUAAACUUACAACAUUCUAAGAAAGGAAUUAGGAUUAGAAGAGAGUUGGAUUGAAAUUCACUAUGCUACCAACUUGAUUCUGAUACUAGAAAGUAAAGAGAGUAUAUGGGAAUUGUAUAUAUAAUAACACAGACCACGCAAGGUAUAUUACAUUAGUUAACUAGGGAGCGAGUUUAGGAUUUAAUUACAAUUGUAACAAUGAUUGUAAGCACUCAUUGACUGCAUUCUCACAGAAAAAUAUACAUGAUAUUUUAUGAUGACAACUUUGCAUUAUAGGAACAAACAGAGUAAAACAGUAGCAACAACUAGCAUAAAAAUUGAGACAUGGAUGGAAUGAACUACAAGGCUUUUUGAUUUGUUCCCAUCAUUCAAUUCUAAGGCUUUUUGGUUGAAUUAGUCCUAUUAGUGUCAUGUAUAAGUCACCGGAAAUAAAUAG